rnacentral:tRNA from 1 species
UUGUGGCUCAGCAGUAGAGCGCUCACCUAGCAUGUGUGAGGCGCUGGGUUCAACCCUCAGCAA